UGGAAGGGAAGCAGGCUCGGCUAAC
rnacentral:piRNA from 1 species